GCCGGCAGCGACGGCGUCCCGAGCGAAGCCUCUUCAUUUGUUGGUUCGAGCGCAGGCAUGCCUCGUCCGGCGUCGGUUUCAUGUGCCGAAUUCCUUCCCGAAGGCAAUCGUUCGGCUACCAUCGUCCCGUACUCCUCCCCUCGUCGCGUGUCCGCACGGAUACGCGGCGCGGUGAGGACAUCGAAGCCCCCGUCGUGUUUCGCAUUCCGUGCACUCCCCCCGCGUGGGCGACCGGAUUGCCGACGCACGACGUCGCGCUCGAUCUCUCGGAUGCGGAAAACAAAGCGGCUACGAGGCCACGGCCUCUACUGUCCAUCGGAAAGGGCGUUCCACGCCCCCUACGGACGACUGCCGAUCGGGUCUUGUUCCCGUGCCCCGGCGGCUCGGAUCAUGCCCGCUCGGCGUCGACUAGGAAUGCUACCUGGUUGAUCCUGCCAGUA
rnacentral:misc_RNA from 1 species